UGAAGAUAUUGGACAACAGGAAGAAAUACAAAAAAUAGAGAUACCAAGUUUUUAUGCCAAUAAAAGAAUAAUUGGUAUAUCAACUAUUAUACAAGAGUUAACAAACAAUUAUUUGAACGGGAAUGCUAUAUGGAGUUACUACUCUAGAGAUCAGUUAAUGAUAUAUUCAAAUUCGAGAGAACUAAGAAGAACAAAUAUGGAUGAAGUCUAGCGAUGGAUUUUAUCAUUAUAAAAACCAGAAGAAAGACCUACGACAAGAGCACUCAAAGCAGGAUUUAUUUCGCCAGAACUAUUAACCAGAUAUUGCAAGCUAAUUGGACACAAAUACCCUGAUCAUCUAUGUUCAAAAUGUAAUGGAGAAGACAACGUGAUUCCCGAUGUCCAGCUAGAAUAAAGUCAAAGAGAUAUGAAGACAAAGAAGAU
rnacentral:lncRNA from 1 species